AUAGACAAUAUGAAAACCAGCAUGGUUGUUAGAGGAAAGAAGGGGUCAGCUGAGAAUCAAAACUCCCCCGGCUAGAGCCUGCAGCUAGAGUCUGUCCGAACUGGGAAGAAUCAUGAAGACAUCCAUCGAGGUUUCACUCCUGUUCUUGUGGCUGCAGCUGGACUGGAUGAGCCGAGGAGAGAAUGUGGAGCAGCAGCCUUCUACUCUGAGGGUCCAGGAAGGAGAUACCUCUGUUAUCAACUGUACCUACUCAGACAGUGCUGCAAACUAUUUUCCAUGGUACAAACAAGAAGCUGGGCAAGGGCCCAAGCUCUUCAUAGACAUUCGCUCCAAUGUGGAAAAGAAAGAAGACCAAAGAUUCACUGUUUUGAUGGAUAAAAAGGCCAAGCAUGUCUCCCUGCACAUCGCAACCACCCAACCCGGGGACUCAGCUGUGUACUUCUGCGCAGCGAGUACACAUUGCUCCCCAGGCACCUGCAUCCUGUACCCAAACCUGUGACUGGACUGAAACCUCAGACCCCUUUGUUUGGCACAGAUUUUCUAAGAAAACUAUUUGCUUUAUGGUUUGUUUGCAAAUGGAAACUAAAAGCAUAGAAUAAAAAAGAUUAAGUCCAAGAUGACA